AUUGAACGCUGGCGGCAGGCCUAACACAUGCAAGUCGAGCGAGCGGCGGACGGGUGAGUAAUGUAUGGGGAUCUGCCCGAUGGAGGGGGAUAACUACUCGAAACGGUAGCUAAUACCGCAUACUAUCGGAUGUGCCCAUAUGGGAUUAGCUAGUAGGUGAGGUAAUGGCCUACCAAGGCGACGAUCCCUAUCUGGUCUGAGAGGAUGAUCAGUCACACUGGAACUGAGACACGGCCCAGACUCCUACGGGAGGCAGCAGUGGGGAAUAGUGGACAAUGGGCGAAAGCCUGAUGCAGCCAUGCCGCGUGUAUGAAGAAGGCCUUCGGGUUGUAAAGCACUUUAAGUUGGGAGGCGUUACCAACAGAAGAAGCACCGGCUAACUUCGUGCCAGCAGCCGCGGUAAUAC
rnacentral:rRNA from 1 species